ensembl:snoRNA
AUCCUUUCACGGUUCAUAAAAGUGAGGAUCGAGUUUUCAUGCCAUAUGUGUGAAGUGUACCUUCCUCAACCUUACUGCAAUGUUGGCACAUUACCCAGCUGAUG